UACAAAUUCAUUCCUCCAAUAGGUUGUACAUGAGUAAAAAGCAUGAAGUAGUUCAAGAAUGGUUGAGUAAAAGAAUGGAUAAUGAUUCCUCAAAGUAUUCUGGAUUCCAUGAGAAACAGCUAUAGAACUAAUAUCACCGUUCUCAUUAGAAACUACAGCUAUAGGUUUAGAGAGAUUUCUGCAAGAAAAGGACAAUUUUAAAAAUUAAAUAUUUUGAUACUGUCAAGAUUAAGCUCCCUAGAUGUCUGCAUCUUGUAAGUAGGAAUGAAUCCUCACUUUUACAAGCUACAGAAUCAUGUGGUGUCCCUGUGUGGCACUUGAAGGAGCAAAAGAAAAAGCUCUGAUGAAGAAGGGCAGGCUCUUUUGGCUGAGGAACCAUCUGGUCUGGCACAGGCAUGGGACCACCUGGAUUUCAACCUGCAGCACCAUAACUAGACCAACAGCAAGAUUUGCCUACAUUUCAGUGAGUCAAACCAGACUAUCCUAUCUUUGGCAGCGAGAGGCACUUCAAGUUGGCUUCUGAGUCCUUUUCUAUUUUUAUUUUUUGAGACGGAGUUUCACUCUUGUUAUCCAGGCUGGGGUGCAGUGGUGCAAUCUCGGCUCAUCGCAACCUCCCCAUCCCAGGUUCAAGCAAUUCUCCUGCCUCAGCCUCCCAAGUAGCUGGAAUUACAGGCAUGUGCCACCACGGCCGGCAAAUUUUGUAUUUUUAAUAGAGUUAGGGUUUCACCAUGUUGGCCAGGCUGCUCUUGAACUUCAGGCCUCAAGCCAUCAGCCCACCUUGGCCUCCCAAAGUGCUGAGAUUACAGGAGUGAGCCACCACGCCUGGCCAACUUCUGAGUCCUUUUGACAAGACCAUAUUAGUUUCCUCGCUUUCUGACACAACAAAACAUCCUAGGCUCACCUUGUCUAUUUUCUUCUAAUAAAUUUAGAAGAAAUGAGAGAAUGGGAAAUCAACAUUUUGCAACCUCUAGUGAAAUAAUUGAUUCAAGCAAUAAUCAUCAAUGGAUGAAACCAUUAGGUACAAAUUCAAUGGGAGCCUGAGCCCACAGAUCAAACUGAGCACCAUUACAGUGGAAUAUCAUAGGCUUCCUGAUAUGAUACAAUAUAAAGCUCACUCCUCUCAACCAUGCAGAAUGAUAAAAAAAAAAAAAAGGAAAAUAUAUAUAAAGCUCACAUCACCACCUAUAAAGGAUUCUUGCCAAAAAAAGAGUUGAACCUGAAACUAAGCAAGACUUUUCCAGUCUCUAGGAAAUACAGGGGUUAUGGGAACAAACCAAACGACGUCAUGGGAAGCAAUCAGAAAAUACAGAAUGUGAAGCCUCCAAAAGAAUAAGUGACCUGGUUUUUCCAACAAGUCAAUGUCAGGAGAAAAUAAAGAGAAAAAAUACACAUAAAAAAUAAUGGCUGGCUGGGUGUAGUGGCUCAUGCCUGUCAUCUCAGCACUUUGGGAGGCCAAGGUGGGUGGAUCACAAGGUCAAGAGAUAGAGACCAUCCUGGCCAACAUGGUGAAACCCUGUCUCUACUAAAAAUACAAAAAUUAGUUGGGCAUGGUGGCAGGUGCCGGCAGUCCCAGCUACUCAGAGGCUGAGGCAGGAGAAUCGCUUGAACCCGGGAGGCAGAGGUUGCAGUGAGCCGAGAUUGCGCCACUGCACUCCAGCCUGGUGACAGAGUGAGACUCUGUCUCAAAAAAAAAAAAAAAAAAAAAAAAAAAAAGGCUAUUCUAGGUAUAUGUUCAGAGAUAUAGCAACCAAACAUGACAAUGGACCUGAUUCAAGACAACCAACUAUAAAAAGCUAUCUUUGAGAGAAGCAGGGGACAUUUGGAAAUGGACUAGAUAUUAGAUGAUAUCAUGGAAUUAUUGUCAAUUUUCUUACAUGUGAUAAUAGCACUGUGGUUGAGAUGUUCUAUUUUUUAAAGAGAUGCAUACUGUAGAACAAAGAAGUGACAUAACAAGAUGUCUGCAAUUUGCCUUAAAUAAGAAAAAAAAGUUAAUGUAAGUUUGGCAAAAAUCUUCAUAAUUCACAAUUGUUGAACCAGGGUGAUAGGUAUGUGGGGUCUUAUAUAAUUCUUCUAUUUUGUGCAUGUUUGAAAUUUUUCAUAAUGAAAACUUUAAUAAAGAAAUACAACAUAUGGAUGGAU
rnacentral:lncRNA from 1 species